rnacentral:rRNA from 1 species
CAGCAGCCACGGGAACACGUAGGGUGCAAGCGUUAAUCGGAAUUACUGGGCGUAAAGCGUGCGCAGGCGGUUUGUUAAGACAGAUGUGAAAUCCCCGGGCUCAACCUGGGAACUGCAUUUGUGACUGGCAAGCUAGAGUCUGGCAGAGGGGGGUGGAAUUCCGCGUGUAGCAGUGAAAUGCGUAGAUAUGCGGAGGAACACCGAUGGCGAAGGCAGCCCCCUGGGCCAACACUGACGCUCAUGCACGAAAGCGUGGGGAGCAAACAGGAUUAGAUACCCGAGUAGUCCCUGUCUCUUAUAC